UAUAUUAUAAGAAAAAAAUACAUUUAUUUAGUACAAAUUUUGAAGUUUUGUAAUCCGUCACUAAGAUGGUUUCCGUCGGUCAUUUUUUAUUGUUUUUUCAUGUCAACUUCCUCCCCCCCUGCUGUACUCUAAUUAUUCCUUUAUACUUGCAUUGAUCUGCCGCUUUUCCUAUAGUUUCUUGGCCCAUUGUACGUCAUGCAAUCGACGGAAGAGCAACAUCGAUGCAUGGUGUAUGAUUUUUACACACACACACUGAAAAACAUUUGGAAGAACCAAAACGUACUCUGUCAAGAUCUCGUGGACUGUAGAGGUUGUAGAUAUAGUGAAGAUUGUAUGGAUUGUAGAAAUUGUAUACGUUGUAAGGAUUGUAUAGAUUAUAGAGAUUGUCAGGAAUGUGUAGGCUGUACAGAUUGUACAGAUCUAAUAGGUGGUGUAUGUAUGACGGGAUUCAGAGGCCAUAGAGUCGAAGUCGAAGCUAAAUAUAGUUUUACUGGAGAAUUGGUAGCCGAUCCAAAUUUACCAUCAUUAUGAACUGUUACUUCCAAUAUUCUUCACUUUGCAGCUGGCGUUGAUGGAGAAUUAAAAUUAACAGUGUUCACCACUGACUAUACAACCCAUGCGGGUGUAUACGCGUGCCAACAAACGCCGGAAGGCUACAAUCAUUCUUUAACUAUUCUGUUAAAGAAACCGCGCAGAACAAUUUGAUCUCAUUUAUACUUUCGGUUCGUAAUAGACCAGAUGAUAUGGAUUUCUAUAUGGUUAACCAUAACAGCUGUUACCAUCCUUAUAAGAAAUUCAAAAUGAAUAGAAAUGUUCGGAUCGAUGAUGGUGAAAGAGUUUACGUUUCCGUCAGUUUUAUGGCAGAGCACAAUAUCACACCAUACGGAUGCGUUAAAGUUGAUUACUAAUCGAUUCUAAAUUUUUAUAGCAUGAAAAAAAUACAGCUAACC